rnacentral:sRNA from 1 species
CAUUCGAUCUAUCCCGUUCAAAGAGUUGUGAUUAAAUAUUGGUUAAAAUUUGGUGUUGAUAUUUUAGUUCAGCAUUCAAAGCGGACUCCGAUUUCUGUUUUUUUUUUAGCUUUUAAAGUGUUGGGUGGCAGACUCAAGCCAGGAACUUGUUUUCUAAGAGAUGGAUUAGCGGUUCUAGAGAUGUUUGGAUCCUUGUGUGUUCUUUUUCAGUGGAGAGUUUUCGAUUUGCUAAAUGUUACGCCUUGUAUAUGCAAAGAGACUGUCAUCAGGUAGCACUAGUUGGCACCAGAUCUUUGAGGACUUUAUUCCAGUCCUAGAAGCGCGACGUAAUGGUACUAAAAAUAGUCAUACAGAGGAAAGAGAGGUCUUCAGGGCCAGGUGAAGAUUAAGACUUGGACGUAAAGAAAAUGAUCUCCCUUGUCGUCUUGCUGCUGGUCGCUCUACACUGUUGUACAGGUCAUAAUACGGACCAUAUUCACAUACUGCUUCUGGC